UGAGGAACAUGACCUUCGGCGGGGGAUAGCCGGCCCAACGGCCGGGUAAUACCGCGUACGACCACAUGGGGACAUCCCCGAGUGGUGAAAGCAGCAAUGCGCCGAUGGAGUGCCUCGCGGCCUAUCAGCUAGUUGGUGAGGUAACGGCUCACCAAGGCGACGACGGGUAGCUGGUCUGAGAGGAUGGCCAGCCACAGUUGGGACUGAGACACGGCCCAGACCUCCGUAGGGACGG
rnacentral:rRNA from 1 species